rnacentral:rRNA from 1 species
UACGUAGGGUGCGAGCGUUGUCCGGAAUUAUUGGGCGUAAAGAGCUCGUAGGCGGUUCGUCACGUCUGCUGUGAAAUCCCGAGGCUCAACCUCGGGCCUGCAGUGGGUACGGGCAGACUGGAGUGCGGUAGGGGAGAAUGGAAUUCCUGGUGUAGCGGUGGAAUGCGCAGAUAUCAGGAGGAACACCGAUGGCGAAGGCAGUUCUCUGGGCCGUAACUGACGCUGAGGAGCGAAAGCGUGGGGAGCGAACAGG